ACGGGUGAGUAACGCGUGGGAAUCUACCCUGAACUGCGGAAUAGCUCCGGGAAACUGGAAUUAAUACCGCAUGUGCCCUGAGGGGCAAAGAUUUAUCGGUUCAGGAUGAGCCCGCGUCCGAUUAGCUAGUUGGUGGGGUAAAGGCCUACCAAGGCGACGAUCGGUAGCUGGUCUAAGAGGAUGAUCAGCCACAUUGGGACUGAGACACGGCCCAAACUCCUACGGGAGGCAGCAGUGGGGAAUAUUGGACAAUGGGCGCAAGCCUGAUCCAGCCAUGCCGCGUGAGUGAUGAAGGCCCUAGGGUUGUAAAGCUCUUUCAGUGGGGACGAUAAUGACGGUACCCACAGAAGAAGCCCCGGCUAACUUCGUGCCAGCAGCCGCGGUAAUACGAAGGGGGCUAGCGUUGUUCGGAAUUACUGGGCGUAAAGCGCACGUAGGCGGACAUUUAAGUCAGGGGUGAAAUCCCGGGGCUCAACCCCGGAACUGCCUUUGAUACUGGGUGUCUUGAGUCCGGAAGAGGUGAGUGGAAUUGCGAGUGUAGAGGUG
rnacentral:rRNA from 1 species